GCUUACGACCACACCGGCCUGAGUACGCUGAUCUCGUCUGAUCUCGGAAGCUAAGCAGGGUCGGGCCUGGUUAGUAUGGAUGGGAGACCGCCUGGGAAUACAGGUGCUGUAAGCU
rnacentral:rRNA from 1 species